AGUGAACGCUGGCGGUAGGCCUAACACAUGCAAGUCGAACGGCAGCACAGUAAGAGCUUGCUCUUACGGGUGGCGAGUGGCGGACGGGUGAGGAAUACAUCGGAAUCUACUUUUUCGUGGGGGAUAACGUAGGGAAACUUACGCUAAUACCGCAUACGACCUACGGGUGAAAGCAGGGGAUCUUCGGACCUUGCGCGAUUGAAUGAGCCGAUGUCGGAUUAGCUAGUUGGCGGGGUAAAGGCCCACCAAGGCGACGAUCCGUAGCUGGUCUGAGAGGAUGAUCAGCCGCACUGGAACUGAGACACGGUCCAGACUCCUACGGGAGGCAGCAGUGGGGAAUAUUGGACAAUGGGCGCAAGCCUGAUCCAGCCAUACCGCGUGGGUGAAGAAGGCCUUCGGGUUGUGUAGCCCUUUUGUUGGGAAAGAAAAGCAGCAGGUUAAUACCCCGCUGUUCUGACGGUACCCAAAGAAUAAGCACCGGCUAACUUCGU
rnacentral:rRNA from 1 species